rnacentral:ribozyme from 1 species
UGCCCUGCAACUUCUAUCCCUACCCCCUCGUGGUACUGGCCGGAAUACGAACAAUCUUGGCGAAGAUCGGGUAACCAACCCCCGGUGGAACUUUGGUCGUAUGCUGACAGGGAAGG